rnacentral:lncRNA from 1 species
UGGUUACCGUAGAAAUCUCACUGUCGGGGAAGCUUGGAUGCAGACGAAAUCUGGAAGAAAUUCAAAAAAUAGUUGGUUGCUGUAGAAGGUCGGCUAAUAGUGGGGCCCAGAGGGCUUUUGGGAUGGCCCAGUGGAUGAGUGCAGAAGUUCAUUAUCGGAGAAAUCCGGACGGUCGAGGGGGUUCGGAGAGAUACCACACAUAAGAUCGGGAGCUGGAAGAGUCCUGGAAGGAUCGGUCUUUUACAAACUUCAAUCGGGGGGUAUUUUAUACCCAACACUCCUCAAAGACUAUCUUUAGGCCUCCUCUAUCUCCCACUAUGUUG